ACCUGAGAUCGUCGAUUCUGCGGAUCCAUCUCGGCUCGUCUUGAUUGAAUUGAAUCGUCUUGAUUGAACACAUGAACAUGUGCGGUUCAAUAUCAACCAAUAAGAUUCCAUGUACGAUGUCGCGUUUUCAUUGGUCAGUCGUUGAAGCCUUUUCUGAUUGGUUGUUGCCGUUUUGACAGCGUUUAUGCCAAGAGCAAAGAGAAAGAAAUCGAAGAGAAGAGUACUUGGGCAUGCGCGAACGCACGGGACACAGUCUAAGCACAAACACGCUUACUUUAAGCGAAGAGGAGAGAUUCGCGAUUGCAAUGAACACGUUUUAAGUGCAGGCAUAUUCUCUGAGCGAGCGCAGAGAAAAUUCUUUCAAGAGCAGCGUGUAUCUGAGAGCGCGCGCCCAGUUCCCGCGCGCGAGCAGAGGGAUUCGCGCUCGGCGCAUUAUAUUCCGCGCGCGAGCAGAGGGAUUCGCGCUCGCGCAUAACAUUAAUGUACUUUCGCGCUACAAUAAUGCGCUCUCGACAUUUGACAGGGAAAUAACGCCAUACCUAUCUGGAAGUAGCAGUCCAAGUUGGGACCUGUGGGGACAUAUCUGGAAGUGGCAGUCCAAGUUGGGACCUAUCUGGAGGUGGCAGUCCAAGUUGGGACAUAUCUGGAAGUGGGAGACCCAGUGGGGACAUAUCUGGUUCUGGAAAAAGUGGCGAUGGAUCAGAAGAAAGAAAGUCAUUCGCAUCUAGGAUGGCUUGAGGAUUAUCCUUGGAUACUACUACUGCUGGUGAUUGACCUUUGCCUGUUUACCUGCUUUCAUUAUUAUUAAUAAAGCUGCACAUGGAUCUCAACUCCGAUGACUCAUCAUUACAGUGGCAAAGAACACAAAAACCCAUAAAAUGUUGGUUAAUGAAAAAUAACCUUGGGAGAAACCGGGCUUGGUUCCUCUCUGGCUAACCAGCAUGAAUAUAAUGCCAGUAUUAGGCAUUUAUGUCCAGUGCAGAUCAUGUUUUAUGGUUAGUAAACUAAGUAAAUGUUAAGGUCCAGUGUUUAAAAAAAAAAAAAACUAUUUAUGAACUAAGAUUAAUGACUAAUGUCUUUGUAGUCCAUCUUAGAUUAACUGCAGUUCACAUAGAUGCAUUGUCCUUGGCAUUAAAUUAUAGUCUAUGUAUUCCAUUUCAAGAGUGUAGUCCAUCAAUAGACAAACGUGAUUCAGACAGAGAUCAAUAAGGUGCAUAGCAGUUCAACCGGCAGGUCAUUUCGGUGGGUUCCAUCCUAAAUCCAAGCUUUAGGAAGUGGCAUAUGAAGUAACUGAUGUCUUACAGUUGUAGUUGGCAUCAGUUCAUCCUCUGAAGUCCAUCGUAAAAGACUGAAGUGAUGUCUGGCUAGCACCGGCUGCAUUUAGUCAUCACACAGAGACAAAAAGCAGUGGAGUCCGACACCAAGCAAGAACAGAGCUGGAUCUGGCUGGCUCUGGUAACCUCGGAAUAUGGAAACAAAUAGAAUAAUAUUAGCAUAGAUGUCAUUACAUUUUAUGAAGAGUUAUAAAUCAUGAUAGAUGUUUCUGGUUCUGUCAGACCUAAUUAAAGCAGCAUAAUUGUGAGUUGAUGGAUAACUUAGGUGAAUGCCUGGCUAAAUAGAUGAGUCUUUAGUCUAGACUCAAACUGAGUGAGUGUGUCUGCAUCUCAAACAGUGUUAGAGACUAUUCCAUAGUUUAGGAGCUAAAUAAGAAAAGGAUCUACCUCCUUUUGUGAAUUUUGAUAUUCUAGGAACUGUUAAAAAGCCAGAAUUUUGCGAUUGUAAUGAAAAUGAUGGAACAUAGCAUGUCAGAAGGUCACUUAAUUACUGUGGAGCUAGACCAUUCAAAGCUUUGUAUGUAGUUAACAGAAUUUUUAAAUGAAUACGAAAUUUAACAGGUAGCCAUUGUAUCAAUGACAAAAUGUGAUCAUAUUUCUUGGUUUUGGUCAGCACUCUGGCAGCUGCAUUUUUAACCAAUUGAAAUGUAUUUAUUGAACCUGCCAGUAAUGCAUUACAAUAAUUCUGUCAUAUAAUUCAUUAUAUAUGUUAUAAUUCAUUAUAAUAAUCUAGUCUUGAAAUCAUGAAUGCAUGAAUAAAUUCUUUGGCAUCAGCAACAGAGAGCAUGUGUCAUUAUUUUAAGAGGUUUUUGGUCCAAUAAUUAGUACCUGUUUUGUUGGAAUUGAGUAGAAGGAAAUUUCUGGCCAUCCAAUCUUUGAUUUCAUUGAUACACUAAUUUGGAGAAUUGUGAAUUGUUGUUGGGUUUGAGUCUAUGUAUUGUGAUGGGGCCUAAAUCAUAACUGAAAUUGUUCAUAUAUACCAUUUCUCUGUAGAAAUGACACCAGGGGUGAGGACACUACCUUUUCAGGUAUUUUUGACAUAAAUGGUAGAUUUGAAAUCGUAAUAAGCCAGUUCUCCAGGAUCAAUCUUUGGCGGUUUGAUAACUGCCAUUUUGAAGUUUAUUGGGACAUGUCCUAAAGAUAGCGAGGAGUUAAUAAUAUUAAGAAGAGGUUCUGAGAUUACAGGGAAUACAACUUUUAAGAGCUUAGUUGGUAUUGGAUCUAACAUACAUGUUGUGGCUUUUGAUUUUUUGAUUAGUUUUGUUAGCUCUUCAUUACCUAUGACAGCGAAGGAUUGAAGUUGCUUGUGACGAAAAUUAUGAGACACUGUUUUCUGAGGUGCUGUGACAGAUGAUUUCAUAGUUCCAAUUUUAUUUCAAUUUUAUCAGUAAAGAAAUUCAUGAAGUCAUUAUUAUUGUGCUGCGGCAGAAUAUCUAGUUCAGUCGAUGCUUUAUUCCUGAAUAAUUUAGCCACUGUACUGAAUAAACACCUAGAGUUGUUGUGGUUAUUUUCUAUGAGUUUGCUCAAAUAUGCGGACCUGGCCGCUUUUAGUGCCUGUUUGUACAGACAAUAUCCUUCCAUGCACUGCAAAAUACCUCUUAUGUAUUCUUCCACUUGCGCUCCAUUUUCAGAGCUGCUCUCUUGAGAGCACGAGAGUGAUCAUUGUACCAUGGUCAAUCUUUUUUUCUAAUUUUCUUUAAUCGAAGUGGGGUGACACAAUCAAGAGUGCUACAGAAGACUGUAUUUAUAUUUUCUGUUAUUACAUCAAGUUCUUCUAGACUUUUUGGCUUACUGAGUAUGUGAGACAAUUCUGGAAGAUUAUUAGUGAAGCUAUCUUUAGUGAUUGAAAUAAUAGAUCUACCGGAACAAUAGCAUGGUUUAGCUGAUCGCAGCAAACAAGAGAUGAGGUAAUGAUCUGAUAUGUCAUCACUCUGUGGUAGACUUUCUAUAGUAUCAACAUCAACUCCAUAUGACAGAAUUCAAUCUAGCAUAUGAUUAUGAUGAUUAGUUGGUCCUGUCACAUUUUUUCUGACUCCAAGAGAGUUGAGAAUAUUGAUAAAUGCUAAUCCCAAUGUGUAAUUUGCAUUAUCUACAUGAAUGUUGAAUUCACCAACAAGUAAAGCUCUAUCUACAUUAACUACAAGAUCUGAUAGAAAAAUUGUAAUUUCACCAAGGAAAUCUGAGUAUAGCCCGUGUGAUCUAAACGACAGAGAUUUUUUAUUUAUAUCUGACAGUGUCACAUUAAGCAUUAUUAGAGCAAAAGACUUACAUUUAUAUCCUGUCCUCUGAAUAACACCAAAAACUUCACUGUAAAUUGUAGCAACACUUCCACCCCAACCCUUCAGGCAUGGCUCAUGUUUAUAACAAUAACCUGGCGGAGUAGAUUCAUAUAAACUAAUACAGUCAUCCGGUUUAAGCCAGGUUUCAGUCAGAGCACAUCCAAAUUAUGAUCUGUAAUAAUUUCAUUUACAAUUAGUGUUUUGGUAGAAAGAUAUCUAAUGUUUAAUAGCCCUAUAUUUAUAUGAUGUCUAUCUUCAAAUUAUUAUUAUUAUUUAUUUUUUUAAGUUUGAACUUAAUCACAUUUUUUAUAAAUGACUUAGUGAUGGGUUUGAGUUAGGUAGUUUGGGGAACAGACACAGUCUUUAUAUGAUAUCUAGGUGAUACAGUCUCUAUGUGUUGUAAAUUAUGUGACCUGUGUGACGUCUCAAAGCAGACAUUUGUAUUAACCAGAUUGUAUGCUUCCUUAGCUGGGCCCCAAUUAGCCAAAUACUAUCACUGUUAAGACAAUGAGCCAAAUUACUUGAGAGGAGAACGUCACCUUCCCUGGAGGGAUGGCGUCCGUCUCUCUUUAGCAGGUCAGGUCUACCCCAAAAAGUCUUCCAAUUGUUUAUAAAUCCUAUGCUAUUCUCCGGACACCACUCAGACAUCCAGCCGUUCAGUGACGCUAAUUUACUAUAAACCUCAUCACCACGACAACAGGGAGGGGGCCAGAGCAUAUUACAGUGUCUGACAUUGUUUUUGCAAGAUCACACACCUCUUUAACAUUAUCUUUAGUGAUCUGUGACUGGCAAAGCCAGUCAUUGUUAGUGCUUACAAGAAUAACAAUUUUAGAAAAUCUACAUUUAGCAUUAGCCAGCACUUGUAAAUUUGAUCGGAUGACAGACACUCGAGCCCCGGAAAUGCAUUUAACGAUGGUGGCUGGAGUCUCUAUUUUCAUGUUCCUUACAAUAGAAUCACCAAUUAUUAAGGCUCUUUCAACAUGAUUCUCAGUGGGUGCAUCACUGAGUGGAGAGAAUCGAAUGGAACCCCUAACAGGAACAGGAGAGUGGUGUCACUUUGCUGAGCGAGUAUGAAGCCGAGAAGUCACCCAAACACCCUGCUGCAGCUGCUUUACAGCCUAACCAAAGUUGUGUGUUGCUCGCUGUUCUACCCAUAUCCAAAACAGUAUCUACCGGCUUUUCUCACUGACCUCCACAAGCGUUCGGUGUCUCUAACUCAUUAAACUUCUCCUUCGGCCUGACUAAUUCCUUACAUUUAUCACAUGUAAACCCAUCACUGCUGACAGAAAAGCUAUAGUAAACAUGUGACAUGCAAUGCAGUAAGAAAUAACAUGAGCGA